UUGGGGUGCGGGAGGGUGGAAGGGCGAGGCGCCGGGCAUUUGUUCUUGCAGAAUGCGGGAGGUGGACUCGCGCAACCUCCAGGGUCCACAUUUGAGCUGCACCCAGCUGCUGACACGCGCUGCUCAGAGAUGGCCUCGAUUCCCCAGGUGCGGGGACUCCAUCUGCGCGGCUCCUCGAGACUAUUUACAACCGAGGUUAGGACUGGCAGCAAGAAGCUGGCGGCCGACUGCGCGGUGCGGGGGAGUGACCGCGGCCCCAGUGCCCACAGGAGAGUGGCAAAGUGCCGGGACAAAGGCGCGGGAAGCCUGGGCGCCCGGCUCUGCAGACGGCAAGGGGCCGCUGCUUUUCCACCAGCCUGGAAAAGUUCGAUGGCUCCGUGGCUGAAUUUUUCCUUUCAGUGUUUAGCUAGUUCCUGGCUCCAUUCUCCCCUGCCCCCGGCCCAGGCACUCUUUGUAAAUUCCCAAUAACACGCAACGGUUCCUGAAGUGCUUCACCCCCAUCUAAAACCCUAGGUGGAGGUCUAAUCCUUCUCCGGUAAUAGACCCAUUUCCACCGGCAGCUCGGAUGGCUGGAAGAAGGCUCUGAACGCCCUCUGGGGUCUCCGCUGCCUGGCCGAGCCCGGGGAAGGCGUGGGGUUGGACUCAGCGGUUAACGACUCCCGGGAGGAACAGCUCCGGGCUGUUCUUUCCAUUGGCACCGUCUCAAACCCGAGCAGGCCCUCGUGUGUGCGUGUGAGACUGCAUGUCCUGAAAAUGCUCCUGCAGCCCCGGCACAUCUGGGUCCCCUAACCAUGCAUAUUCAUGCCUGCCAGCAGUAAAACCCAGGUCAGCUGCUAGGAGACAGUGAACUGCGUUCUUGAAAGCUGACCAAGCCCCAGAAUCUAAUAAAAGACCCAACUGUCUCCUCUCCAACUCGAUGCAGAGCCUCAUAACACUUGAGACAUUAUUUUUGUUGUUUUGUUUUGUUUUUUCCUAAAAGGAACAAAGGAAACCUGGAGAAGUCUUGCUGCUGUAGAGCCGAGGAGGGGUUUCUAACGUUGUUCCCACCGCCAUAGAAACUGAUUUCACUCUGGUAGCUUGCCUGGUUCCCCUGGCCUCUUGGAUGAGUGGAUGACAUUUUCUUAUUCUGUCUCUGCACAGGGUCCCUCCCAUUUAACAUGUUUUCCAUCCCUUCUUUUAUCAUUUUCCUUUUUUUGUGUGAGUUGCUCUUUCCCUUCCUCUUCUUUCCAGAAAAGAGUGGAUUCCUAUAUUCCUAUCUACCGUCCUAUAUUUCUGUCACUUUGUUCAGAAAUACCCCUUUCUUUCUCCUUAGUAGCUCAAGGGGGCAGCCCCUCGCUGGCACAGCCUGGGGGAUGGGGAGCUGAACCUGGUGCACUGGGAAGAGGACAUCAGAGCAAUGACACUUGGUUUUCCUACCAACUUGACCACCCACAGUCCCCCAGGACUCCCAUCUAGUUGAGGGGCACUGCACUCUAUCCAGUUCAGUAUUAUGGGCUGAUUUGUGUCCACCAAAAUUGAUAUGUUGAAGCUGUAAUCCCUAGUAUCCCAGAAUGUGACUGUGUUCAGACACAGAGCCCAUAAAGAGGUUUAAGGUUAAAUAAGAUCACACAGGUGGACCCUAAUGAUGCCCUUGAACUUGCCAUCCUCCUGCCUCAUAAGAAAGAAAAUUUGGAUACACGAAGAUAUACAAGAUAUACUAAAAUGUGUGGUACACAGAGAAAAGACUGAGAAGGAGGCAGUCCCUUGCAGAGAAGCUUCAGGAGAAACCAAACCUGCUGGCAUCUUGAUCUUGGACUUCUAGGCUUCAGAACUGUGAGAAAUAAAUUCCUGUUAUUAAGGAUGCCCAGUCUGUGAUUUAUUGUUACGGUGACCCUAGCUAGCCAAUACAGGCAUGAAGGAAGCCUUCCUGUGCCUUUUCUGUGGCCCUCCUUCCUCCUCCAUGUCUCAGAAACUCUUUCCCUCAAAUUGGCUUGGUACAACUUUUCUUUUUGUUAUGGUCCAGAUGAUCCUGUUUUUUGAGACAAAAACUUUUACUUAAUGACAAUUUUCUGAUAAAAGAGUUUUACUUCUACACCCCUUGUUUGAUUUUUGGUUUUAUUCUAUGCAGGGUUGCUAGAUAAAUGCAGGACACCCAUUUAAAUUUGAAUUUCAGAUAAACAGCAAAUAACUUUUUAAUAUAGAUAUGCCCAAAUAUUGUAUGGAACAUGCAGUACUGAACAAGAAAAUUAUCUGAAAUUCAAAAUCAACAGAAGUAGGUUUGUUUGUUUGUUUUAGUCCUAGGGAUUGAACCCAGGAGGUGAGCAACAUCCCCAGCCCUUUACAAUUUUUUAGUUAAAGACAGGGUCUCACUAAGUGGCCACAACUGCCCUUGAACUUGCCAUCCUCCCACAUCAGCCUCCUGGCAAACUAGGUGUCUUUGAUAUUUUGUUCGUUAAGUCUUCCAACAUUGGUUCAGUAGUGGAUCCUUAAUAUAUUUACACAGUGGGUCUCACGUUUAAAUCAUCUGGAGAACAUUAAAAGAGUUCUGAUGGUAGGGUUCCUCUCUGAAGAAUUCUGGUUUAAUUGGUCUGAGGUCUGAGCUAGUUGACAGAAUUUUUUUUUAAACUCCCAGGUGAUUUUAACAGGCAGCCUGGGUCUAGGACCACUUUAGGAAGUGAGAGUUGCUAACUAUUUAAACACUCUUAGCUAUCAGGCUGUUGGAUUUAGGGCUCCCUUAGACUUGGAAUGUCAUCUUAUCACUCUUCUUAUAGCUGAGUCCAGAGGCAAAGGUCAAGCAGAUGAAAAAAAAAAAAAAAA